rnacentral:lncRNA from 12 species
UAUUUAAUUUUUAUGAAACAGAUCAGAAGAGGUUUCUCUAUUUAAAAAAUCAAUUUCAGGGGAUCCCCAGGUGGCUCAGCAGUUUGGCACCUGCCUUCGGCCUGGGGUGUGAUCCUGGAGUCCCGGGAUCGAGUCGCUCCCUGCGUGGAGCCUGCUUCUCCCUCCUCCUGUGUCUCUGCCUCUCUCUCUCUCUAUCAUAAAAAAAUAAAUCUUUAAAAAAAAUCAAUUUCAUAAAAAAUAUAUAUUUUUGUAUAUAUUUUUUAUUUUUUUAAAUUUUUAUUUAAAUUUAAUAAAUUUAAAUCCACCCAGGGAUCCCUGUAUAUAUUUUUUUAAUCAGAGUUCAAUUUGCCAACAUAGAGCAAAUGUACGUGGUGAGGGCCAGACGAAGAGGAAACCACGAAGGGGACAAGGAAGGGGCAGCAGCCACAGGAAAACCCCGAGGGAGCCCAGGGCAGUGACAGAGCAGCCCGUCCUGAGUCCUCGCUGCUUGAGGCCCAAGCGGAGAGCAACCCCGCGGAAAUACUCCCAGUUCAGCGCGGACGUGGCCGAGGCCAUGGCCUUCUUUGAUUCCAUCAUUGCAGAGCUGGACACGGAGAAGCGGCCGUGGGCGGCUGAGGCAGAUGCCCCGAAUGAGGACGUGGACUGCGAAGGUGAGUGCUCGCCACGGCGGCGGGAAGGGAGCGGCUGUGGGUCUGGGGGGCUGUGGAAUCCCACCCUUGAGCGCGGGGGAGCUGGCCCAGGCCUUGCUCUUGACCUGGGGCCCCUGGCCUUAGUUGGCCCUGUGGCCACCACCUGGCCACCCCAACACUCGCGGCCCUACUGGGACAGCAGCCUCCCUGUGGCGCCCCGGCCAAAGCCGAGACAAGACCGUAGGUAGUUAGGGGAAGCGGUGAGGGGGUAGCCGGCGCUCUACGGGUGUAAGGACAGGUCUGAAUCUUGCAAGAUGACUUCCCAGGGAGCUGCCACCCAGCAGUGUGAGUAUGACUCCGCACUGCAACGCAGCUCCCGUGGUGUCACGUUACGUGUAUUUUAUUUAAGAAAGAAAGAAGGAAAGAAAAGAGAAAGGAACAGAAGAACUGUGUUGAGAACUCUGGCUCCUGAG